AAGGACUGUACCAACUGACUCAUGGUGCUGAGGAUACUCUUCCAGCAGGCCAGAGAUAUCCCAUGAGAAGAUUGAAAUGCCUUGUGACCUUGGAGAGACAAAAUGGAUGCAGUAAUAUCUUUUAUUGGACCAACUUCUGUUGAUGAGCGAGACAAGCUUUUGAGAGACACCCUUCUUCAGGUCUGGGAAAGCUGUUCAUGAAGAUACACUGAGCUGUUUAGCCAACAAUGCUGCAAGUAACAUGGCAAGGGAACAUCACCUCUUCCUAACUAAUCAGCUCCAAAUACGUAUUUGAAAACGUAACUCAUCAGGAGUCAAAUAUCAGAAAGACAGCCAAAAACUUAUUAGAGAAUGAAUUUCAGUACUGCUCUAAGUCUACUUUAACCAAGUCAGAUACAUGAAGACUUCCAUUCCAUGCUUAAGAAAAAGGCAUACACAGAAAGAUGUGCUAGAGAUCUUAGGCUUUUUUAAUAGUGUCCAUUGGUGUAGUAUUCAAACAGUUCACAGGUUAAUUACAUCUAUAUGGAAAGGUCCAUAGUAGACAUCAUGGAGUCUUCUACUCUUUUCUCUUUAGGAGAUAUACUUAUAUACACACCUAUGCAUGUAUUUUGUAAUACACAAAUACAGUUUUAUACACAAUAGAUUAACUCUCUGUAAUCCAGACAGUUUUGGAAGUUGACAGAUAACUGCAAGAAUCUCUCGGCUUUGUUCUGGCAGUUGAGAUAAAAGAAAUAUGGAACAAUAGCCAACAUCUGAUUGACAUAUGAUCAGGUUGUGCACACCUCCAAAUGAUCUGUCAUGCCCAGCACCAUUUGGUGAGCUUGCCCAUUAAUGUUUUCACAACAGAAAUCUAGCACAGCACAGAUCUAGCUCAUACAGCACUCGUACACUGCUAUUCCAGACUCAUCCCCAGGGGUAUGGCCCUAAAGUGACAUAGCCAUGAUUUCUGGCUGCAAUUCUGGCCCCCAAGUUGUUAGUUAGCGGUACUUGGGGGCAGAAGAAGGGGGCAGGGAUCUCAAAUUAAGGAUAGGAGGUUUGGGAUCAGUCCUAGGCACCCAUUAACUGAGUAAUGAAUGAUUUAUACGGAAUUUAUAAAGUUUAUAAGAAGUUUAAGACGAUAAACCUAUUUAUAUUUUAUUGGACACAAAAGCACAGGAAUAUUUUCCCUCAUUUUCUGGAUUAACCUGCUCCAUUGCCUUUCUCUACUACUAUCAACCAUUAACUCUGGUCAUCACCUACAUUUGUCAUUGAUCAAGAAGCACUUCCAGUAACCCAGAGGGCACAAGUAACCUCAGCCAGACAGUGCCUGACAAGAAUGAUGUUCCUGUUAAUUAUAGCAUAACUCAGUGCUUCUAGACCACUAGAAGUCAUUCACAAGCAUCUGCUGAGAAAUCACCUAUGUUCAUCUCUUCUCUAGCUGCCUUACCUCUGCUUGAGAGAGAAAAGACAUUAGUGUAAUAAGAACAGGAGUACUAGUGUAAUAGUUUCAGUUGGAGUUUCAAGACUAAUUUUCUUGGCACACAGGGUAUGUGUGUCAUUCGUUUCACUGCUUUCCUUUCUCCUUCCUUAAAUUUCCUCUAUAAUCAGCCCCAACUUUGAUGCAAUUGCCUUCAAUUGAUACAGUUCAUACCCUAAGUGGAACUGAUCAAUUAAAUAUUUUGGAAGCUGAUGUUAGUAAGCUUUUAGGUGGCCCAGAAUUACUUGUUCUGAAAAGCUUCUAUCUUUUAGCACGUCUCACUUGGUAACCAUGCUAUUGAAUUGUGCAUAGUGAGCACAGGAUAUAAUAUGCUGUUGCAGAGAUGAAUUUUGUUAGCAUAUGAAAAAGGCU